UGGUGUGGUCCUAUAACACCAUCUAUUCUGGAUGCUGAGUGAGCCAGAGCCUUGAGCUUAGGAGUCUGAGGCCAGCCUGGGCAACAGUGAAUCCUUUGUUAAAAGAGAGGAAAUGGGAGGGGAGAGAGGUAAGGAAGGAAGAAAAAAAGAAAGAAAGCACUAUGCCACACAUACAACUAAGCUUGAAGAUGGCUCGGAGACGAGGUCCAGCAGCCUGUAAAAAUAUCAUUUUUAUAAAAUUCUAUGAAAAAUGUAUGUGCUUCUGGUUUUGACGGCAUGCAUCUAAAAUUGGAACAAUUACAGAGAUUAGUAUGGCUCCUAUGUAAGGAUGACAUAUAAAUUCUUGAACCAUUCCACAUUUUAAAAUUUAAUCCUUGUUUAAGUAGUAUUCAUUUUGCUGGGCGUUGGUGGCGCUCGCCUUUAAUCCCAGCACCUGGGAGGCAGAGGAAGGUGGAUCUUUGUGAGUUCGAGACCAGGCUGGUCUACAAGAGCUAGUUCCAGGACAGCCUCCAGAGCCACAGAGAAACCCUGUCUGGAAAAACCAAAAAAAAAAAAAAAAAAAAAAGAAGUAUUCAUUUUUAUCUUUUUCUAAGACGUUUCCUUUGUUUUCUUAUUUUUAACUUCUUUCAGGAACAUCUUCCUGGCCAUUCGCCUGAUUCGGGUGGCACUGUUAAUCCUCAGCAGAAAACAAUCCUAAGGAGGUUCUGUGUUCCUGCCUCAUUGACAGGUGGCCAUGAUGUUACUGCUCAAUCCUGACAAGAAGGUUCCUGGUAUCUAAGACGUAGGACUCGUUUGCAGGGAGAAGACGGCUGUCCUUAGAGGCAACAUUUACUUUUAGCAGCUUUAGGCCUGGCACAGGAAGCAGUCAGAUGAGUUGGACUCUCACAUCUGCCUCCUUCUGCAAAUUCAUCCAGUGCUCCAGGCAUGUGCUCCCAUGGCUCCUCACAUGAGGCAGGAAUAGAAACAGCGUGGGCCUCUUUAACAAGAUCAUAGAGAGCUCAGGUCAAUCUAGAAAACAAAAUGUGACUCUGUCUCAAAAAAAAAAAAGGCUUUUAAUUAAAA
rnacentral:lncRNA from 1 species